UGAGGAAUAUUGGUCAAUGGGGGCAACCCUGAACCAGCCAUGCCGCGUGCAGGAAGACGGCCCUAUGGGUUGUAAACUGCUUUUCUACGGGAAUAAAGUGAUCUACGUGUAGGUCUUUGAAGGUACCGUAGGAAUAAGCAUCGGCUAACUCCGUGCCAGCAGCCGCGGUAAUACGGAGGAUGCAGGCGUUAUCCGGAUUUAUUAGGUUUAAAGGGUGCGUAGGCGGCGCUUUAAGUCAGUGGUGAAAGUUUGCAGCUUAACUGUAAAAUUGCCAUUGAUACUGGAGUGCUUGAAUAUGGUAGAGGUAGGCGGAAUGUGUAGUGUAGCGGUGAAAUGCUUAGAUAUUACACAGAACACCAAUUGCGAAGGCAGCUUACUAUGCCAUUAUUGACGCUGAGGCACGAAAGCGUGGGGAGCGAACAGG
rnacentral:rRNA from 1 species